AAGAUGUUCUUCUUCUUCUUCUUCUUUCUUCU
rnacentral:sRNA from 1 species